CCCAGACUCCUACGGGAGGCAGCAGUGGGGGAUAUUGCACAAUGGGGGGAACCCUGAUGCAGCGACGCCGCGUGGGUGAAGGAGCGUUUCGGCGCGUAAAGCCCUAUCGGCAGGGAAGAGGGAGGACGGUACCUGACUAAGAAGCCCCGGCUAACUACGUGCCAGCAGCCGCGGUAAUACGUAGGGGGCAAGCGUUAUCCGGAUUUACUGGGUGUAAAGGGGGCGCAGACGGCAGCGCAAGCCAGGAGUGAAAGCCCGGGGCCCAACCCCGGGACUGCUCUUGGAACUGCGCGGCUGGAGUGCAGGAGGGGCAGGCGGAAUUCCUGGUGUAGCGGUGAAAUGCGUAGAUAUCAGGAGGAACACCGGUGGCGAAGGCGGCCUGCUGGACUGCGACUGACGUUGAGGCCCGAAAGCGUGGGGAGCAAACAGGAUUAGAUACCCCAGUA
rnacentral:rRNA from 1 species